ensembl:lncRNA
AGAGCGAGACACUCACAACUGAAACAACUUACCUGCUGCUCUUACAAUGAAAAAAUUUCAUGUUUCUGCCAAAUGUUUGGCAGAAAACAAGAGGUGCACACUUCUUUUCCCGUUAAGUGAUUCUUCAUGUUCCAGUGGAAAGAUAGUGGCAAGGAGGAGACUUUCUAUGUAUGCAUGACUUCCUUUGUUAUUAUAACAGUAAGAACCUGGGCUGGAAUCUUCACUCUAAAAGCAAAACUCCGAAUUAUCUUACUCAAAUAUGCACUUUCACCAAUAAUGUAUUACUUGAGCAGAGCUCAAAAUUGUUAGAACAAAACUG